GCGAGAAACCUUUGCAAUGUGCGAAAGCACGACAAGGUUAAUCCGAGUGGUUUCUGCUAAAGGAACCUUUUGUCAGUCCUAAAAACACUGAUGAAUAAGGGGUGGGCAAAAUUCUGGUGUCAGCCGCCGCGGUAAAACCAGCACCUCAAGUGGUCAGGAUGAUUAUUGGGCCUAAAGCAUCCGUAGCCGGCCCUGUUAGUUUCGGUUAAAUCUGUACGCUUAACGUACAGGCUGCCGGGAAUACUGCACAGCUAGGGAGUGGGAGAGGUAGACGGUACUCGGUAGGAAGGGGUAAAAUCCUUUGAUCUAUUGAUGACCACCUGUGGCGAAGGCGGUCUACCAGAACACGUCCGACGGUGAGGGAUGAAAGCUGGGGGAGCAAACCGGAUUAGAUACCCGGGUAGUCCCAGCUGUAAACU
rnacentral:rRNA from 1 species